AAUUUAAGCAUAUCACUAAGCGGAGGAAAAGAAACUAACCAGGAUUCCCCUAGUAACGGCGAGUGAAGAGGGAUUAGCCCAGCACCGAAGCCUGCGGCAGUUUUGCUGUUAGGCAAUGUGGUGUUUGGGUCGGCUCGUGGGAUUGCCACUCCAUUCGAAGUCCAGCAUUGAGUAUGGUCACUGGAUUUGGCCCAGAGAGGGUGAAAGGCCCGUACGAAUGGAGGUUCAGACAAGUAAGGCAGUUCACCAGGCCGGCCUUAGAGUCGGGUUGUUUGAGAAUGCAGCCCAAAGUGGGUGGUAAACUCCAUCCAAGGCUAAAUACUAGCACGAGUCCGAUAGCGAACAAGUACCGUGAGGGAAAGUUGAAAAGUACUUUGAAGAGAGAGUAAACAGUACGUGAAACCGCAUGCAGGUAAACGGGUGGCGUCAAGCUGCAAGCCCGGAGGAUUCAGCUGGCUAGGAUGUUGUAUAUGCGCCUGGCGCAUCUAUCAGUCGGAGUAGGAUGUGUUAGUCCACUGGGAUACGGUGGGCCCGGCCGCAAGGUUGGGAUAUGUGUACCGGGUGUUUGCCGGAGCAUGCUAUCCAUCUGUUGGACUGUCUAGUCAGUGCACUUUCUCUGUGGUGAACACCACGACCGGUGGUAUUGCCAGUCUGCUGUAGCCAAGUCGUAUUCAGUGGGUUCUUGUAAUCAACUGGGUGCGAUCACAGGCAAACUCAGUAAACGGCGUAGGGGUGUUUCGGCAUCUCUGCGUGUUAUCGGCUACUGGUUGUCAACGGGCCUGCCUGAUGAUUGUUGUAAUCGUCGUCGGGUGGUCUGGUGGGUUAUGGUGGUAUGAAUAACUGUGCAAGGCACCGGAGUUCUCGGCCUCAAAUGCAUCCUGCGCACACAUUACAAGUGGAGCGGGGUGCCAUUGUAGCCUGCCUAAUGUUGGGUCUGAUUGUCGUGUCGCCUGCGAAAAGUGGGCCCGGCAGUGGCCUGAUGUGGGAUGGGUUGCGGAUGGUGCCUCCUGUGUAGGGUGCUGUUGGCCAAAUAGUCAGUGGUGUAGUGGUAGACGAGCUACCCGACCCGUCUUGAAACACGGACCAAGGAGUUUAACAUGUAUGCAAGUCAAAGGGCCCUACGAAACCCCAAGGCGCAGUGAAAGUAAAGCUUCGACCUGUUCUCGGAGUGAGGUGAGAUCCUGCCGUUACUCGCAUCAGCCUUAUGUCAGCAUCAGGCUAAGAGCGGUGGGCGCAUCACCGGCCCGUCCCAUGAUGUGGUCAUUGGAUUUCUGUAGUCGUUGCUUGCAGCGGCUGUGGAGCCAGUGCGUCAUCGGGGCGGAGCAUGAGCAUACAUGUUGAGACCCGAAAGAUGGUGAACUAUGCUUGCGUAGGUUGAAGCCAGAGGAAACUCUGGUGGAGGACCGCAGCGAUUCUGACGUGCAAAUCGAUCGUCAAACGUGAGUAUAGGGGCGAAAGACUAAUCGAACCAUCUAGUAGCUGGUUCCCUCCGAAGUUUCCCUCAGGAUAGCUGGCGCUCAUUCGCAUGAUCAGUUUUAUCCGGUAAAGCGAAUGAUUAGAGGUACUGGGUUCGAAACGAGCUCAACCUAUUCUCAAACUUUAAAUGGGUGAGAUGCCCGGCUCGCCUAAUAGGAGUCGGGCGUUGAAUGUGUGAGUGCCAAGUGGGCCAUUUUUGGUAAGCAGAACUGGCGCUGUGGGAUGAACCAAACGCUCGGUUAAGGUGCCUAACGCGACGCUCAUGAGAUACCACAAAAGGUGUUGGUUAAUAUAGACAGCAGGACGGUGGCCAUGGAAGUCGGCAUCCGCUAAGGAGUGUGU
rnacentral:rRNA from 1 species